GCCGGGUGUGGUGGCACACACCUAUAAUCCCAGCUACUCGGGAGGCUGAGACAGGAGAAUUGCUUGAACCCGGGAGGCGGAGGUUGCAGUGAGCCGAGAUCGCACCACUGCCCUCCAGCCUGGGUGACAGAGAAGAGACUCCGUCUCAAAAAAAAGAAAAAAAAAAAAAUAGAUAAAAUUAAGUUGGGUUUUCUUUUUUGAGAUGGAGUCUCACUCUGUCGCCCAGGCUGGAAUGCAGUGGUGUGAUCUUGGCUCACUGCAACCUCCGCCUCCCAGGUUCAAGCAAUUCUGUGUCAG
rnacentral:SRP_RNA from 1 species